rnacentral:lncRNA from 1 species
GCCUCGUGCCCCGCCCUUCGUGCUUGAAAAAAAAUCCCGCGAAGCCUUCUCCGAAAGAACAUGCUGGUUCUUUGGUUGUCAGUGCCUUACAAGCCCUGGAGGCGGGGGUGAGGUGGGGAUGUGGUCCCUCGCGAAAACUCAGUCAGUGGACAAUAGCAUUCUGUUUUUCAAAUUGGCAUUUCCUCGGUGAGGCUGCUAGGAAAAGAAGAAGAAAUGGCAGUAAAGAGGGCAACCAUCAUUCCACCCAGCCCAAAAGGAAUAAGAGAAACCCUAUCUUUCAGGAUUCUCAAGAUACAGAGUUUUCAUGGAGUGAUAAUGAAAGGAGCAGCAGCCGCAUUAAUA